rnacentral:rRNA from 1 species
CUAUGCGCCUUGCCAGCCCGCUCAGUCAGAGUUUGAUCCUGGCUCAGGACGAACGCUGGCGGCGUGCUUAACACAUGCAAGUCGAACGCUGAAGCCUAGCUUGCUGGGUGGAUGAGUGGCGAACGGGUGAGUAACACGUGAGUAACCUGCCCCCUUCUUUGGGAUAACGCCCGGAAACGGGUGCUAAUACUGGAUAUUCACUGGUCUUCGCAUGGGGGUUGGUGGAAAGGUUUUUCUGGUGGGGGAUGGGCUCGCGGCCUAUCAGCUUGUUGGUGGGUGAUGGCCUACCAAGGCUUUGACGGGUAGCCGGCCUGAGAGGGUGACCGGUCACAUUGGGACUGAAAUACGGCCCAG